UUUUAUUGUUAUACACGUCUGUGGUUUCUUCUUAAGUUUUCAGCAACGUGUACUUCUUCCAUCACAUGUUUUAAUAGCUACUCUUUCACUUAUGCUUCUUCAGUUAAAGAUGUCUUCUUUCUUCUCUUAAAUAAAAAAGUAAGUUUAAUACCGUUUGUUUAACUAGUUAAUGAAUGUCUUUGCCUUUUUUCAAUUAGGUUUAAUUUAAUAGGAGUAAAUUUGGGUUUCAGUGUAGUCUUCUUUCUGAUGCCAAAUAUGAAUGAUACUAUUUCUGAACAAACAGGGGAACUGUUAAAACUGCGGCUUUCCAUACUUAGCAAAAUAGACUUUCAAAGAAGAAAAUUAAAAAAAAAAAAACCCACAUCAAAGAUUUUUGAAACAUGGUUUUAAAAUAAAAAUGCAAGAAGGCAAAGCUGUUAUGGAAUAGAAGUAAGUAUUUGUCAGGUAAACAUGAAGACUCAGAAACUUUUCAUUCUGUGUUUUUUUCUUUGUUUGCUCUUUGCUUUUUGCUUGAACACAAAUCUGCUUAAACACAAAAGUCUCCCCCACGGAUUAAGGUGUCACCAAGGCAUGGACCACAAAGUACCACAGAUAUGGCUCAGUGUUUGUCCAGCAUGGGAACUUUCUCAGGAGCUAUCAUUCUGCAUCAGUGAGAAUUCCCAGGAGCAUCUAAAGGUGGAGAUGGUGCCCGAAGAAAGCCUGUGAAGUUACCAUCCACCCUUGUUCGCAAAUCUAAACACAAAGCAGUCAACUUCAGGACCCUGAGAGCCACACUGAAAAGAGGAUGGAUAGCCAUGCUGAAGUCACACAUUGCAGUUUGUUUCACUGGAAUUACUGGAUCAUGUUUGCCAACAAUGAAACCUUUCAAGUUUCAGUUGAAAAAUGUUCAGAAAGCUCCUGUGCAACCCAUACUGACUGGAUUUAGCAUGUUAUGUCUUCACUUGAUUCACAGAUAGUUGAUUGAAUUAGUUAAUUAAGACUGGAAUUUUCAAAGAAGCCACAGGAAUUAGGUAACCAAAUUCAAUGAGAUUUGGGUACUUAACUCCCUUAGACUCCUUUGAAAAGGCCAGCUAUAAAUGUUCACCUCUUUAGUUGCAAUUAUUUGUACUCGCAGGAUUAUGAGUGCAGCUGUUUAUAAAUGCAGAACCGAGGUUGCAAAAGCAGACAUGGCAUAAGAACAGAGAUCUAUCCAUGCAUAGCACAGUACAUAAAUAUAUACAAGCAGUGGCCAUACAUUUAAACCAUCCUUGAAGUGAAAAUACCAGUAGAGCUAGUAAUAACUCUGAAGCCAGUGAGAGCUUCUUAAGCUUACCUAAUUAAAAUCAUCUAGAUAUACACACUCAAAUAUACAUGUGCACAAACAUAUAUAUAUAUAUAUAUAUGCAUGUAUACAUAUGCACAUAGGAAAGUGUAUGCACGUCUAUAAAGAGCCAGAUGUGAGCAUGGGUGCAGACACUUGUUUGUUUCUGUGUGCUACUUUUUCUUUGCAAAACAGUAAAUUGUAAUAGUAUUUGCUCCUGGGAAAAGGGGUGGCUCAUCUGCUGUGGCUACAUCCACGAUCUUAUCCAAGUGUAUGAGGCAACCCCUUCCUUAACAGGUAUAAUCGAGGCACCAUGGAGGCAACUCUUUUAGCAGCACAGGAGGAAGCAGAAGUAUCAGCUGGAAUGGUAACCAUCUGAUUAAGAAGUAAAAAUAACAGCCUACAAAUGGCAUAACAAAACAACCCCUUAAUCAGCAGAGGUGGUCACCCUGUCGUUGUACUUGAUUGCAAGGCCAAAGGACAAAACCAAGGGCUGUUUGAUAAAGGCUCUGGGUGUUAGCAACCAAAACAUGGCACAGCCAGCCCAUACACACUUGGUUCUGGCUCCCCCUAAAGCCACUGGGGCUACCCGGUGGCAUUUUGAGGUGAGCAGGUAGACCUUGACCUAGCUGAGGAGAAUGACACAGUGUGGGAUUGCUUUCCCUGAACACAGCCCAGGGCUUUCAUCCCACAGCUGCAGCCUUCCCCCAAGGCUGCUGCCCUCACUAUUGCUGCCAAAGGGAAAGUCCAUUUGGCCUAAACGAGAUAGAUGAGCUUCUUAUCCAGCAAAUCACCCUCAGACAGGAGUAACCUUAGGCCUACAAGUGAUGCUGGGACUACUCACAAGCCCAAAGAUACACUUGGGCUUUGUAAUGAAGGGAGACUCAGAAAGGAAUAUAUAUCCUGAGACCAAAUGAGCGAGAAUGAAGAGCAUCCAGCCAGAUCCUAUUUGUUAGGAUCCAAUUGUUUUUCUACUAAAAGUUGCCAGGACUUUAUUCUGUGUGUUCACAGCAAGAGUGUUGGCCCAUAAACAAAUUCAAAACAUACAGAAGAUCAGUUUCUUCAUAUAAGGAGGGUCGAUGACUUUCCAUUAGAGGAGUCACUGAGGUCUCCAAACCCUGAAGGUGUAGUAGAGCAAAUAAAAAUGUGGUUAGCUGAGGAAUGCAAACAGAUAUAUAGCACACAUAGAACUUUAACUUCAUUCCAGCAUCCAUAUGUGGUCAUAAAGUACAUCCUCUUAAAUGUAAAAUGUAUAGAUUUCCCUCUGCAACAAAGGCAUAAAAUAUUUCACUCCCAAACAAGUAUUUGAGCAUACGAACAUGAUCUUUCACUUCAUCUAGGACUACCCACCCAGUAAACCAAGCUGUAUUCUUUCUGGGUGGCUCAGAGAAUAGCAUAUUACAGUGGAAACACCCAUUUAUUUCAUUUACUGCCAUUUAUAAUAUUUUCCACUAUUUGCAGAUAAUGAAUUCAUCCACUUUUUGCCAAGAUUAUGCAGCCUGUUUUAUAGCCAAAAUUAUCCAGAAUCCUUCUAAAAAUGUGUUACCCUUCAUUUUCCAUGAUUGCUUAGUGGUUCUCUUGGAGCAGGACCAAGAUCAACCACAUUAACAAUGCACAGCAAUAACUGAACUGUCAUGCUCCCACUCUCCUGGCAGUAGGAAGAGUGCCAUCGAGCUGGUCCCUGAAGUAUGCACGGCUCCAGAGCAUAACUGUUCAGGUUAAUUAAAGCCUUUAGAUGAGAAAUGAGGAAUUACUUUUGGAGUUCUUUCCUCUGCAUGUCCUACACUGGUCUUCUCAUAAAGGUAGACCCAUUUCAGAUUUUCUGAUGUCCUCUUGGCGCCGCUGCCUCUUCAGCUCUCCGGGAUGAAUUGUACUUGUAGAGCAGAGACCUGUGGUGUGUAACAGCCCUGCACAGACCCAGCUGCUGGCCCUGUGAAGGUGGACACACAUCUGGAAUAUCACACACCACCAGGAGCAUUUUCCAGUCCAACAGAGGAUGGAACAAGCGCUCCACGACACAAAUAAGGCAAGCAGGAAAAGGUGGAAAGGGACGGGUCCUUUUUGAAAUUAUGUGUAUUGGGUCAGUGCUGAUUUCUUAGCAGAGAGCUUCCCAGUCCCCUCGCAGGCUCGGCAGUGCUGGCAUACUGUGGAGGGUGGAGCUGCAGCAGCGUUCCCUCCCCGCUCCGCCAGGGAAGGGGAGAAGCAGGCCGGCCACAUCUGCUCUUCCCUUGUGCAGGGUCUGGCAGCCUGCAAGUCCCAUGCAGGGGAGAGAGAGGGCUCCUUGCCAUCACCAGGCUCAACAGCUGGGCCCAGCAUGUAAGAUGAAGCACAUGCAAAUCUUUGCAGGAAUUCCUCACUGCUCAGCCAGAGGGUUUGAUCUUGGAGUCAAGGAAAUCUAGCUCAGGACCUUGCGUGAAAGAAGCAGUGCCUACCCAGAGGUUCCAGUGGUCAGUGUUA
ensembl:lncRNA